UACAGAGAAUUGACAAACAAAAAAGAAGUAAUACAAAAAGUCAUCAUUUAAAAUUUAGAAUUGUAACGUAAAAAAAUCCGAUUUUCGUUUAAUUUUAGUUUGAAAACUGUCAUUAUCUUUUUUAACGUCUUUUUACACAAUCUAGAUGAGAAUUUGUUAAAUUUUUAACGUGAAAUGUACGCAAAGUAAUAAUUUAAUCGUGAUAUUAAAAAUAACUAAAUUAUAUGACCAAAUGAUAAGAGUGUCGUAAUUGGCUAAACAUGGCACGAUGUCGCCGAAAAAGAAAACUAUGUAAGAC